GAUGAACGCUGGCGGCGUGCCUAAUACAUGCCAGUAGAACGCUGAAGGAAGGAGCUUGCUCUUUCCGGAUGAGUUGCGAACGGGUGAGUAACGCGUAGGUAACCUGCCUGGUAGCGGGGGAUAACUAUUGGAAACGAUAGCUAAUACCGCAUAACAGUAGAUGUUGCAUGACAACUAUUUGAAAGGGGCAAUUGCUCCACUACCAGAUGGACCUGCGUUGUAUUAGCUAGUUGGUGAGGUAACGGCUCACCAAGGCGACGAUACAUAGCCGACCUGAGAGGGUGAUCGGCCACACUGGGACUGAGACACGGCCCAGACUCCUACGGGAGGCAGCAGUAGGGAAUCUUCGGCAAUGGACGGAAGUCUGACCGAGCAACGCCGCGUGAGGGAAGAAGGUUUUCGGAUCGUAAAGCUCUGUUGUAAGAGAAGAACGAGUGUGAGAGUGGAAAGUUCACACUGUGACGGUAUCUUACCAGAAAGGGACGGCUAACUACGUG
rnacentral:rRNA from 1 species